rnacentral:misc_RNA from 1 species
UGAGCCUUGAGCUUUCGCCUUAAGGCCAUUGUCAGGCGCACAGCACGCACUAUCCGCCGCACCUCCCUGGCAUAGGCACCGGUCUCAAUCAGGGAAGCAAUCUCCUUCAAAUGGUGGAGGGUUGAAGGGGAAGAGGAUGCGGUGGAGUUGGAGGGAGCUGGGACCUCUUUCAUCUCGACGUCUUGAGUCAUAUUGAAGGCUUGAAUAGAAACAGAAUUGAUCCGGCCACUGUCGAAGAAGGGAGGGCUUAUGCACUGCACAUCUACUUUUCUUUCCCUGCAAGUCUAGCUAAG